rnacentral:tRNA from 1 species
AUUUAAAUAGCUUAAUUAAAGAGCGUGGCUCUGAAGAAGCUAAGGUAGAAUAUUUUCUUUUAAAUA